rnacentral:rRNA from 1 species
UACGCAGGGUGCAAGCGUUGUCCGGAAUUAUUGGGCGUAAAGGGCUCGUAGGCGGCCAACUAAGUCGGAUGUGAAAUCCCCAGGCUCAACCUGGGAACUGCAUCCGAUACUGGAUGGCUUGAAUUCGGGAGAGGGAUGCAGAAUUCCCGGUGUAGUGGUGGAAUGCGUAGAUAUCGGGAGGAACACCCGUGGCGAAGGCGGCUCUCUGGGACGGUACUGACGCUGAGACGCGAAAGCGUGGGGAGCGAACAGG